rnacentral:rRNA from 1 species
UACGAAGGGGGCUAGCGUUGCUCGGAAUCACUGGGCGUAAAGGGCGCGUAGGUGGUGGCUUAAGCGUGCGGUGAAAGCUCGGGGCUCAACCCCGAGUCGGCCGUGCGAACUGGGCUCACUGGAGCAUAGUAGAGGCAGGUGGAAUUCCGGGUGUAGCGGUGGAAUGCGUAGAGAUCCGGAAGAACACCCGUGGCUAAGGCGGCUCUCUAGUACGGUACUGACGCUGAGACGCGAAAGCGUGGGGAGCGAACAGG